AAGCCCUACGAAUGUCCUGAAUGCGGG
rnacentral:piRNA from 1 species